UUUCAGCCAAGUGAUUUUGAUCUGGGAGCUUACAGAAUGGGAGUAGGCUGAAUCAAGCCUCUGUCAAGAGCCACUGCUGAAAUACUGAAUUAAAAUACCCAAGACCAGCACAUCAGGAGGAUAGCCUUCUGCCAAGAAUGGUGUGGAGGUAUACCUUUUUCACAGAAGCUCUGGAAACAUCCUCAGACUUGGACAGACUCAGUGCAUCCCCAGAAGGCAGAGAUGUUGCUGCUCUCUGAGCACUGUACACUCUGUGUUCAUGACUGAUGGAAAUAAUGCCCAGUUUUGGGGGAGCUUGGUGGUAUGGGAGACAGUCACAGCAGCUCUAAUAGAGUGGUUUAUCACUUUCUUGUGGAGCCAGGUGCAGCUUCUGUUCUCUUUUGCACCCACAAAUCUGGUAUAAUAUUAAUUAGAUUGUUGAUUGUCAUUAGGUUUCAUUAGUGGAGAUCCAUAAAACAAAAAAAAAGGAAAGGUUCCAUAGUCAUGCUAAAACUUGGUAUGUCAUUUAUACAAAAGGAGGUGAACAGAGAUUGGUAGCCAUGAAACACUACUUUUCCAGAAAUAUGAAAUGUUUAGGUAAAAUCUAACGGAAAAUUGAUUACUGCCUGAUAAAAUGGUGUCUCUUCCCUUGAAAAUAGGUUUGAUCAUUUCCUUUGUGCAAGCCCUGCACCUUCACCUAGAUUCCUUCCCAGGCAGCUACAGUGAAUCUGCUCACCAAGGGAAUUUGUCCCACUGGAUUCCUUUUUUUUUUUUUUCUGUGCAGUUGAAUGAAAAGUGUGUGCCUUUUGAAGAACAGCAACUGAAAGAAAUAUUGAUGACUGCCAGGGCAUCUACAGAAAAAGAUAAGAAAAUUACUCUAGUACAACAGUGAAAACAAAGGGGCUUUGUUAACACUUUCUUGUAGGUUGUAUAUAUUAAUAGUAACAAGUAAAGUUUUGUAUUUUUUCAGAGAAACACACAAGGCCUUGAAUUGUAUUGUUUUAAUUGCAACUAACUGAAUGAAUUAAGUGGAAAAUCGCACACAGUACUUUGAUUGUCUAAUUCUCUGUAUGUGAGGCUUUGGGAACAGUUUGUUAUUCUAAAAGAACAGCACUAACCAGAAAUCAGCCAACAUGUAAUUGCUAGGCUGAGGGGCAGUUUGGGGAAAGCUGAUACUUAUUUAUACAUUAUUAAAUAAAAUCACAUAAUAUGAGGAUCAUCUCUCACUGCCUCCACACUUCAUACAUUACUCAUCUUCCUAAAUUUCAUGGUUUUGUACUCCCUUAGUACAUUGCUGCUUAUAACCAGUGCAGGCAUCAAAACCACCCACAUCCAGGAAAGGAGAUGCCUGUGCAUUUGUUAUGAUGGCAGAUUUGGUUAUGGGACUCAUCAAAGAUUAUGAACCUUCAGUUCAAGGAAAGGGAUCUUGACUCAAGUUUUAAAGGUUGUUUUCAGUACCUAAAAUACACCUGGGCACCUGGGACUGUUCAGGUGGCUGAAACUCUGGCUGGUGUUUCCACUUGACUAUGUACAUUUAGAGAUUCACAGUCAGCCAGUAACCUAAAAAGAAGACUUAAGAGCAAUUUUGGCAUUAAAUUUGACAGAGUUCCCAAAAAACAAAUUGUUUAUGUAAUUCCCAUCAGUUUUGGUAAGAAUCAGGUAACUUCUGGUUACCUCCAGUGAUCCUCACUGCUCACUUGUGCCUUACUCCCAUAGGAAACAGCCACUUGCAAGACACAGAGAGGAGAUAGAUGGUGAUGGGACUCAUGAAGAAGAAAGAAGAGACCAACACUCCUACCUGUUACUUCUGUGAUGAAAAUGGCAAGACAGUUCUGGAUCUGCAGUAAACUCCAAGCUAUGUGGCAGCUACAGGCAGAUGCACAGGAGGAGGGGGUGAUGGCUGUCCAAGGGGCCUGUGACACUUGGGGACAAGGAAGUCAAAUCAAGACAUUUGUGAUGUAAAAGUCUGCUCUCCCAGUCCUCUCAUCUUUUAUAAAGACAAGUGGAUCACAAAGUCUGGAUGACAGGAAU